AUGGCAUCUUCAAAGGUUUGCAAGGAAAGAUUUGAUGCUGCUGUCACAUAUCUGGGUGCUAUUGGAAUUCAGAGAGAAACUGUUUCACCAGUGUUGGCGAAUCUACUAGAGUUGUAUGAUCACAACUGGGAGUUUAUAGAAGCUGAUGACUUUCGGGUUCUAACCGAUGCCAUAUUCGACGGGCCAGAUCCCAAAGAAGAACAGCAAAUGCAAGCUAACAAGAUGAAGAAUCUUGAUUCGGAUCACUGUAAAAAGAAGCUUAAGAUAAAACAUCAUUCUCGAAAACCUACAUCCAAGGUGCGCGUCAAUGAGAAGACAGAGUUGGCUGAAGCUCCACUGCAGCAAGAAGCAGGCAAGCUGUGCCCUCAAACUGUUUGUGCCACUGGGAACACAUUGCAGUUGUCUUCUUCGCAACUGCCGAUUGAAGAAACAAACAUGGAAAUCAAUGUUCUCAAGGAUACAUUGACAGAUGAAGAUAGUUCAGCUUUAUCACUCCAAGGUCAAGAGCUUCCUACUUUCGAGACCCCACUGGCAGUUAUGUGCCCACUAGUUCAAGAUUCCAGCCAUCAGAGAGCAUACAAUGACGUGCACAACAAGUCUAUCAUUGAAUUGGACUAUACAUAUAGUGAACCAAGAGAAAGUGGAAUGCUACAAAUAGUUCCUGCCAUGGAUUUUUUAUCUAAGCCUUCAGUGCCAAAUCAAGCUGGUUCCUCGUGUAUGCCACCUAAUAAUAGCAUGAUCCAUGGUGGUAUUUGCCCCUCUACUGCUACUGCUGAAGAACAGAGCAGUUCCAGUAAUAUGCUGGUUAUUGCCAAGCCCAAGGGACCAGCUCAUGAUGUCAAUGACAUAACAAAAGGUGAAGAACAUGUGAGAAUUCCCAUAAUCAAUGAAGGUGGCAAUGGGAUUCUUCCUCCUCCCUUUCACUAUAUACCACGCAAUAUCACAUUCCAGAAUGCAUAUGUGAAUCUUUCGCUUGCUAGAAUAGGAGAUGACAAUUGCUGCUCAGACUGCUUUGGAGACUGCCUAGCAGAACCAAUUCCUUGUGCAUGCGCAGCAGAAACUGGAGGCGACUUUGCUUAUACAAGAGACGGCCUGCUUAAGGAAGAAUUUCUCAAUUCUUGUCUCUCCGUGCUUCCAAAAUUCUACUGCAAAAUUUGUUCAAGGGAACGAGUGAAGAUUGUAAAUUCUGAGUCACCAAACGCCAAGGUGAAUCCUUGUAAAGGACACCCUAUAAGAAAAUUUAUUAAGGAAUGCUGGAGUAAAUGUGGCUGCACCAGAAAUUGUGGAAAUCGUGUGGUGCAGCGAGGCAUUACUCAAAAUCUACAGGUUUUCUUAACCCCUGGAGAAAAAGGAUGGGGAGUGCGGGCUGCUGAGGAACUUCCUCGGGGCGCAUUUAUUUGUGAGUAUGUUGGUGAAAUAUUAACAAACAGUGAGCUGUAUGAGCGAAACAAUCAAAUGGCGUCAAAAGGUAAGCAUACCUACCCUACGUUGCUUGAUGCUGACUGGGUCACUGAAGAUGUUCUGGAGGACGACCAUGCUCUCUGUCUGGAUGGCACCUUUUAUGGGAACGUGGCAAGGUUCAUAAACCAUAGGUGUUCUGAUGCCAAUCUUAUUGUUAUACCUGUUGAGAUUGAGACACCCGACCACCACUACUACCAUCCGGCGUUUUUCACCACAAGGCAAAUAAAGCCAUUUGAAGAACUUACAUGGGACUAUGGACUUGACUUUGACGAUGUCAACCACCCUGUUGAGGCAUCCAAAUGUUGUUGCGGAAGCGAGUUUUGCCAGGACAAAAGGAACAUCUGA
rnacentral:rRNA from 1 species